GGGCAAUGAUGAGAGAAAGUAUUUAGUCAUGCACCACUCUGAACAAGAGGUUUUCCUCUGUGCUGACAAACAACCAAACUACCCAUUGUUCGUCUGAGCCU